UACGGAGGGUGCGAGCGUUGUCCGGAAUCAUUGGGCGUAAAGAGCUCGUAGGCGGUUUGUCGCGUCGGCCGUGAAAUCUCCACGCUUAACGUGGAGCGUGCGGUCGAUACGGGCAGACUUGAGUUCGGUAGGGGAGACUGGAAUUCCUGGUGUAGCGGUGAAAUGCGCAGAUAUCAGGAGGAACACCGGUGGCGAAGGCGGGUCUCUGGGCCGAUACUGACGCUGAGGAGCGAAAGCGUGGGGAGCGAACAGG
rnacentral:rRNA from 1 species